AAUGAACGCUGGCGGCAGGCCUCACACAUGCAAGUCGAACGGAUCCUUCGGGAUUAGUGGCGGACGGGUGAGUAACGCGUGGGAACAUACCCAAAGGUAUGGAAUAGCCUCGGGAAACUGGGAGUAAUACCGUAUGUGCUCGAAAGAGGAAAGAUUUAUCGCUUUUGGAUUGGCCCGCGUUGGAUUAGGUAGUUGGUGGGGUAAUGGCCUACCAAGCCGACGAUCCAUAGAUGGUUUGAGAGGAUGAUCAGCCACACUGGGAAUGGGACACGGCCCAGAAUCCUACGGGAGGCAGCAGGGGGGAAUGUUAGACAAUGGGGGAAACCCUGAUCUAGCCAUGCCGCGUGAUCGAUGAAGGCCUUAGGGUUGUAAAGAUCUUUCAGGUGGGAAGAUAAUGACUGUACCACCAGAAGAAGCCCCGGCUAACUCCGUGCCAGCCGCCGCCGUAA
rnacentral:rRNA from 1 species